rnacentral:rRNA from 1 species
UCGGGAAUAUUGCGCAAUGGAGGAAACUCUGACGCAGUGACGCCGCGUAUAGGAAGAAGGUUUUCGGAUUGUAAACUAUUGUCGUUAGGGAAGAAAAAGACAGUACCUAAGGAGGAAGCUCCGGCUAACUACGUGCCAGCAGCCGCGGUAAUACGUAGGGAGCGAGCGUUAUCCGGAUUUAUUGGGUGUAAAGGGUGCGUAGACGGGUCUACAAGUUAGUUGUGAAAUCCCUCGGCUCAACUGAGGAACUGCAGCUAAAACUAUAGAUCUUGAGUGCAGGAGAGGUAAGUGGAAUUCCUAGUGUAGCGGUGAAAUGCGUAGAUAUUAGGAGGAACACCAGUGGCGAAGGCGACUUACUGGACUGUAACUGACGUUGAGGCACGAAAGUGUGGGGAGCAAACAGGAUUAGAUACC